UACGAAGGGGGCUAGCGUUGCUCGGAAUUACUGGGCGUAAAGGGCGCGUAGGCGGAUGUUUAAGUCGGGGGUGAAAGCCCAGGGCUCAACCCUGGAACUGCCUUCGAUACUGGACAUCUUGAGUACGGGAGAGGUGAGUGGAACUCCGAGUGUAGAGGUGAAAUUCGUAGAUAUUCGCAAGAACACCAGUGGCGAAGGCGGCUCACUGGCCCGGAACUGACGCUGAGGUGCGAAAGCGUGGGGAGCAAACAGG
rnacentral:rRNA from 1 species